rnacentral:lncRNA from 1 species
AGCGCUGGGGAGCAGCCCCCCCACCCAGCCGUUGCAGAGCCUCCACCCCCACCCCAGCGCCGAGGAGGUGCCGGGCUGUGGUUGCACCGCCCCCAGCACCCCUAGAGCCAAGGAGGUGGUUCGUCGUUUCUUGUUGGUCUUUUCCUGUUGGUUGGACAUUUCUCUCUCCCUGUUGAAUGUUUCCUGUUCUCUGAAGAAUAUUUAUCAUUCCAUCUUCCAAAUGUGGAAAAUCAUCCUUAACACCUUUUGUUUUCCUGGAGUGAAGCAACACAUCUACACCCUGACUGUCUUCCUGUUUAGUUCUGUGGCCUGGGUAUUGGGUAUCACCCUAGUGAGCAGUGUAUCCUGGCGCGUGUGGGAAUUUGACAGCCAUGUUGUUCCCAUUGCCUUCAUUGGCCUUUGGGAUGCUCAAUAUUAUGUCAGGCAAAACAACUCUGGCACAGUGGUUGAUGUGCCAGUAGAUACCAGCAUCCACAGGGGGUGGACCCAGGCAAUUGAGCUUGAUUAUGCAAAAGAACUAAUGGUGUUGGUGAAUUUUACUCAGCCAGCAGCCCUGAUUCUCAGCAUAGUGGCCUUCCUAGUAAGCAGGCUGAAGCCCACCUACCCAGAAUUUCUGAGACUCUAUUACAGAAGCGCGGCCCUCCUUCUUUUCCUCAGCUCUGGCUCUGUGGCUCUGGCUGUGAGCUGGAACUAUGCCAUGGAUAUUUCUGGCCAAAGCACCCUUGAUUUCCCAUUAGAGUUUACUGUGGGCAAAGAGACUGUGACCAAGAAACACUUCUCCUAUGUGUUCCCACUAGGGAUCGUCACUGCCACUCUGUCCCUCCUCAGUGGCAUCCUAUGCUUUGGGCCCAUGAGCUUCACAAAGCCCAAGUCAAUGGCAGCGGCAGAUGUGCCCUAAGGAAAGCUCAGAACUGAGAGCCAGGAUGUGUGGGAAGGCCUGAGCACAGGGUGCUUGGGAAAUUGCCACCUACUUAGCAUUCUGAAGCAACUAUGUCCUCACCGCAAAUAAAAUCUAUUCCUUUGAUUUCUCAAAAA